rnacentral:ncRNA from 1 species
UUAAAUGCUAGGACAGGGACAGUAAAGCAGCGCUAUGUAGCGACAAGCGAAUCGGGGACGGUGAAAGCCCGGUGGCUAGGCGAGCUUGAAGAUCACCCUCGAGCAUUUUCCGUGAAAAGCCAGUAGCGGAAAACGGUUCAUCCCCGUUACGGAUUUUGAGCGGGCAGUUAUGUACUGUCAAUCAGGGUGGUACCGCGGAAACCUUUCCGUCCCUUUC